rnacentral:rRNA from 1 species
UACGUAGGGUGCGAGCGUUGUCCGGAAUUAUUGGGCGUAAAGAGCUUGUAGGCGGUUUGUCGCGUCUGCCGUGAAAAUCCGGGGCUCAACCCCGGACUUGCGGUGGGUACGGGCAGACUAGAGUGUGGUAGGGGAGACUGGAAUUCCUGGUGUAGCGGUGAAAUGCGCAGAUAUCAGGAGGAACACCGGUGGCGAAGGCGGUUCUCUGGGCCUUACCUGACGCUGAGGAGCGAAAGCAUGGGGAGCGAACAGG